rnacentral:rRNA from 1 species
AUCUAGCUGCAGCUCCACAACCAUCGCGAAUCUUACCCGUACGGUUGCCUCGGCGCUGGCGGUCCGGAAAGGCCCUCGGGUCCUCCCGGAUCCUCGGGUCUCCCGCUCGCGGGAGGCUGCCCGCCGGAGUGCCGAAACUAAACUCUUGAUAUUUUAUGUCUCUCUGAGUAAACUUUUAAAUAAGUCAAAACUUUCAACAACGGAUCUCUUGGUUCUGGCAUCGAUGAAGAACGCAGCGAAAUGCGAUAAGUAAUGUGAAUUGCAGAAUUCAGUGAAUCAUCGAAUCUUUGAACGCACAUUGCGCUCGCCAGUAUUCUGGCGAGCAUGCCUGUUCGAGCGUCAUUUCAACCAUCAAGCUCUGCUUGCGUUGGGGAUCCGCGGCUGCCCGCGGUCCCUCAAAAUCAGUGGCGGGCUCGCUAGUCACACCGAGCGUAGUAACUCUACAUCGCUAUGGUCGUGCGGCGGGUUCUUGCCGUAAAACCCCCCAUUUCUAAGGUUGACCUCGGAUCAGGUAGGAAUACCCGCUGAACUUAAGCAGAACAGUAAGCGGGGGGAA